rnacentral:misc_RNA from 1 species
GUUUUUCAUCGGUUGCUCCCACCCUGUUGUGGCGCAGCCGGUGUCGUGCGGCGUCCGAUUUCGUUCAAUGGCAGAUAAGGCACAACGCCCGGCGCUGAUCCGUUCGCGCCCUGGUCGAGCACGAGCUUGUCAGCUCCUCCGAGAACACGCUCCAUCGUUUCCAGAUAGAUGCGCUGCCGCGUGACGUCAGGCGCCUUCUUGUAUUCCUCAUAGACCUUCAGGAAGCGCGCGCUCUGGCCCUUGGCUUCGGCCACCGCCUGCUCC